UACGGGGGGGGCAAGCGUUGUUCGGAAUUACUGGGCGUAAAGGGCUCGUAGGUGGCCAACUAAGUCGGACGUGAAAUCCCUCAGCUUAACUGGGGAACUGCGUCCGAUACUGGAUGGCUUGAGUUUGGGAGAGGGAUGCGGAAUUCCAGGUGUAGCGGUGAAAUGCGUAGAUAUCUGGAGGAACACCGGUGGCGAAGGCGGCUCGCUGGGACGGUACUGACGCUGAGGAGCGAAAGCGCGGGGAGCAAACAGG
rnacentral:rRNA from 1 species